rnacentral:tRNA from 1 species
UCCCUGGUGGCUCAGAUGGUAAAGCAUCUACCUGCAAUGUGGAAGAACCAGAUUCGAUCCCUGGGUUGGGAA